rnacentral:lncRNA from 1 species
UGGAGAUUCAGAUUUGAGGACAUUAUAAAAUUGUAAAGAGGCUUUAUUUGUUGGCAAUGAUUCGUUUUGAUGUGUCUUUGCAUAUUAAGACUCACAGGCUUUUUUCCCCUAUUUUGCAUUUUUAACACCAGUACUAUAUUAACUCUUAACAAUUAGAACUUCCAUAUUAAAUAAUUACUGGAAAUAAUUUUCCUGAAAUAAGAAACCUAAAAUAAGGAGCUAAAUUAGGAAUUAGAAAAAGGAAGAUCAAAGUGAAAGUCUAUGUGUUUACAUAAGAAAGAGAUGUUUGGAAAAAAUGCACUAAGCUUUUGUAAGUAAAAGAGGAAUUUGGCAGUAUAUAAGGUAGCCAAACAGAUUCCUCAAGAAUGAAUGAUUACUAACUUUUCCACACAUGGCUGUGGUGAUAAGUAUUUUUAUACCAACCUUCCCACUGAGGACAUUUGGAAAAACUAAAUACAAUAUUUUAAAAUUUGAGGAGCUCCCAACUUGGCUCAGUGGAAAGGAAUCUGACUAGUAUCCAUGAGGAAGCAGGUUCAAUCCCUGACCUUGCUCAGUGGGUUAAGUGUUACUGUAAGCUGUGGUGUAGACCACAGAUGUGGCUUGGAUCUAGUGUUGCUGUGGCUGUGGCAUAGAAGUGGGUUCAGGAAGCAUGAAGGAGGACCACAGGGUGAACACCCUAAGAUUUCUGUUGGAAUCCCUAAGUGGCUAUAUUGUAGAUGCAGAGCUAAUUAAAAGUAGCCCUACCUUUAGAAAAACUGAAAUAAGAUUAUUUGCAACUUCCCUAAUAGUUUGCCAGAAGGAAAAAUGAGUUCUCCCUGGAGGAAGCUAAGAUCUUUCAGAGCCAUAAGUAGCACCAAAAUUUAUGGAUUACAAGGUAUGGUAUUUAACCAAAAAUUACCUAGCAUAUCAAAGAAUAAGACCAAAAUACUAAAAAAAGUAAAAUAGAAAAGAGGUAACAGAAAAAUGUCCAUGAAAAAUCCAUAUAGAGGUUUCUCCCACUAUCCAAAAGUAGAGCAUGUCUAUGAAACAUUUCAUAAGCCAAAAAUGCUGCAAAUCAAAGAAACAGCUGCUUCAGGACACAUCUUGCUAAUGGAUGCACAAAAUAAAUCGAGGUAAAGCACAGAGCUCACAGACACAGCUUGAUGUUGAGAUGCUGAGUGUAGCUCCCCAGGAAGGAGCCUGGUUGCGCCAAUCUCACUGCUGGAGGUGCAUGCUGCCUUUAUAAUGGCAAAACAAAUUCUAAAUGCUAUUUUCACUUUGCCCCUGUUUUGGUACAGGUAAAAUUCCUCUUCAGAUUUUUUUCAGUUAGUGAAAACAGGUACUAAUUUAGAUCUUUCAUAAAAGCAAAGUGGUUAAAUUUUCCAAAAGUGGUAGACACCUGUACUGGAAUUAAUAACUAUUGAAUUUAAAAUACAUGUUAUUAAUAUAUUCAAGUAAACAAAAGUUGGAAAGCCAACAGAAAUUUAGAAAAUAUGUUAAAGAAUCAAAUGAAAAUUCUCUAAUUAAGAACUCAAAUUAGAUAGACAUAACUGAAGUGAAGAUUAGUGAGCUCGAGAACAAGCCAGUAGAAAAUGUCUACACUAAAGUAUAAUGAGAAAAUUAUGGAAUGUAUAAAAAAGAUCAGAAAAGGAAUGUAAAAUAUACUGAAAAGUUCUAAUAUAUAUGCAGUUAGAAUCCAAAGAGCUAUAUUAAGAUUAGGCUGGGGCAGGUCAAGAUGGUGGAGGAGUAAGAUGUCAUGUUCACCUUCUCCCACAAACACAUUAAAAAAAAAAAAAAACACAGUUACAUGUAAAACAACUUGCCCAGAACAUCUACUGAGUGCUGGCAGAACUUACACCUCCAAAAAGGGGAUGAAACUCUUGUCAUAACUGGGUAGAACAAAAGAAAGAGAAAGAGAGAGAAAAGGAAUUAGGACAGGACUAUCAUUCCUGAGAGGGAGCUGUGAAGGAGAAAAGGAACCACUUUCUGGGAAGCCACCUAACCAAUCAAGAAAUCAGCUGAGACAGAGGGACCUCAAAGUCACUGAGAAAAGCACAGCAGCUGAACUGAGGUAGUCAAAGUAGAGUGAAAGCCACACAAAUCAUCUGCACCACUGGCCAGACCACACAGCCUGAGAUGCUCAGGCAGGGGCUGGGUACUGUGACUUAGGCUCCAGAGGUCAGUCCCAGGAAGAAGACUAGUGUUGGCCAUGUUGGGACAGCAUAAGAGGCUAAGGAGCACUGUGCCAUAGGCCAGGGAGCCAUGUGCUACAGGCUGGGAAGUGGAACACCAUGGCAGAGGGAACCCAGGAGAAGGUCUGGGCCCACGGGAGAAGCAAGGCACCAUUGUUGGGGAAGGCAAGAGGAGGAGC